UAAAAACUUCUUCCGUCUUUA
rnacentral:piRNA from 1 species